rnacentral:lncRNA from 1 species
GAGUGUUUCUUUCAGUAGAUAUGGACAGUACAGGCGCUCAGGCCAUCCUGCAGCUGGGACAGGAUCUUCCAGAGAUGGUCCACCCAGAGUGUCCAUACAGAGACGUGAGGACAGAGAGGUCCAAAUCCUCUUUUCACAUGUGUUCCCUGAAUUGUGGAACAAGAUUCAGUUCUGAGAUGGGCAGGAAAAGUUUUCUUGAUAGGAGACAGAAUGAAUGGGGGGAGCCACUUUCUUGGAGGAUCUACGCUGGGUGUUUGUCUCUGGAGCCCGGGGAUGCAACAAAGCCUUGAGAGGCAAUUCCUGAGUCGAUUGCGCAGUCUUCUGAAGAACCCAAUCUUCAGAGUGGGAGAUGAUGUUUCCACGGCAACGUCUUCCUCAGGUGGCAGGCUUGUUUCAUCUUCCAAAAGGGUGUUGGAGAUCCAUGGGGCAGCCACAGCUCUGGUAUAGAUGGCACAGCUAGGAGUGGUGCUCUUCUUCUCGGGAAAAUGAAGAGCAAUGGGAGGCAUGGAGUCACUUCUGGCCAACUUGUGUCCUGAUCGUGUCAGGGCAGCAGGCCCCUGCUGUCCUGAGGGCCAGAUGUGGACGAGGCCAAAGUUGGGUUCACUGGCCCUUCUCUUUUGGGGAAGACCGGAGGGAUUCUAAGAUCUUAUUGGCAUCAAACCCCAUGCCACAGAGCAUGUCUAUGAUGGUGUAAUCUGGGAAGCUAUCAGUCGGAACAGUUACAUCACAUUUUCUGACCCACGGAUGUCUCUCAAUGUCUUCAAUGGAGGGCCUCUUCUCAGGGGGAACUGUGAAGAUCUGGUGUAUGAGAUUUUCCAGUUUAACAGACAUGUAAGGUGGAAUACGAUAGGUCCCUGUGGUAAGCCUUUUCUCCAACUCUAUCAAGGUACUUCCUGCAAAAGGGUGGUCCCCAGUGGUGAUAAAGAAUAGUAGCACACCAAGACUCCAUAUAUCUGUCUUCCUGCCAUCAUAUGGCUCCCCUAGCAGUUUCUCUGGCGCCCAAAAGGUCCUGGUCCCACACUUCCGGCUCAGUAAUCUGCCAGCACUGCAUUUUAUGGCCAGGCCAAAGUCUGUCAGCUUUACAUUUCUUUCUUCAUCGAGGAGCACAUUCUGUGGUUUAAUGUCUCGAUGGACAAUAUUAAGGUUGUGGCAAUAUUUCAGAGAGGCCACUAAUUGUCCGAAUAUAUGUUUUGCCUCUUCGUCCUGCAGUGGGCCAUGCUCUUGUAUUAAAUCAAAUAAGUUCCCUCCCGAUGCGUACUCCAGUACGAAGUUGACGUGGCUUGAUGUUAUUAGGACCUGGAAGAGGCGGAUGAUAUUAGGAUGUUUUAGUGUCGUCAGUAUUUCUCGUUCGGCCUGGAUAACGUUGAGGGUCUCCUUGCUGAUCUCUACCAUUUUUACGGCCACCAGGGCCUCAGUUUUCAGGUGUGAGGCCAAUACCACUGUGCCAAAUGUACCCUCGCCAAGAUAGAAAAGGAUCCUAUACUGACUUCCCAAUCUCUUCUUUUUGGAGUUGCUGGCCAUGAGGCUGACUUUUCCCUGUGCUCUGGUACACACAAGUUGUGAGGUUCAACAAUCGGCAAUCCACAAGCUAGACAGCUCCAAAGUAGUCCCACAGGUCACCAAAAGUAGCUCCCUGCUCUGUAUGGACAAGUACAACAGGCCGGUCCACAGUCUUAUACAGAGGACACUCAUUCUUCCAUCACAGAGGUUCUCUGUGAGGUCAGAGCAAAAACUGCACCAAGCAGAGAAGGUUAUAACCCUUAGUGGCUGUCCUCACUCUGGGCCAGAGGGACUUUUCCAUUCUCAUGAAAAUGAGACUAGCCUCUCUCAACUUCCUCUUCAGCAGAUCAGAGACAGAUAUUUACUUCUUUAGCAAUUACAGGCAGCAGAGUGCAGUGGUGGCCUCUGUAGCUGGAUGCUGAGUAUGUCAAACCAACCAUUGGGGCUUUCAAGGAUGACGUGCAUUUUGGACAAGUGUUCUGAGAGAGAGGCUACGUCAUCACAAAAUGUAACUGGGAGGUUUUCCACCCAGCCACUUUGAUAACAGAAUAGACUCUGAGGUUUAAUUCCUCACAAAGAUAUACCUAGGCCAUAAGCUUUGACCAGUUCCCCAGCUGGCCUGUAAGUGAUACAACCUCUUGAUUCUAGUCUGUGUCUGCCGCAUGGAUGGUUAUCUCUCCUGAAAUUCAUGUUUCUGCCUUCUUCAGAGUUCAAGGUCAUUCUGUAGGUCUUCACUGUUUUCCAGAGUCCUAUUUCUCUCUGCCUGAUGUCCCACUUUGUAUUUCCUGCCUUGCUUAAUUGUCCAUCAGAUUUUAAUGACAAGUGAUGCCUCUACACAGGAUUAAAGAGAUUCUCUUUAUAUAUUCCCCUCCACAGUCCAAAUACACACCCAUCUGUAACAUUAGUAAACUACAAUCCAGAGGAGCAACUAUGAAAACCAGCAGAUAAGAAUUACAUUCACAGUGUCCAUUCUAUCUGCACUUGGCCACAUUGGGGAAAAGUACUCUACAAUCAGAACUAUCUUGGUGAUGGAGUUUGAGUUUCUAUACAGAAAUCAUUUUCUAUCAAACUAUCCAUUUAUAAAGCUAAGAAUAUCUUAGACCUUAUGACAUUUUCUCACACAAGUUAAGCUGAAAUGUGAGACUAUGACGACCCAAUCUUCAAUCUUUUCAGGGACAUGAGGAGUUAGAAGGCCUGAGUAUCCUAAAAAUACAACACAAGCAACUUCCAAAUCUAUAGACACGACAGAGGUAGCUGGUUCCUCAGACACUCACCUGAAAUGUCUAUGAGUCUUUGGAUCAUCCACCUUCAGCCUUCUGGCUCAGAAUAUCUGACAGACUUUUCUGUAAAGCAGGAAUUAUGAAAGACUCCUCAUCUUCUUGGGGUAGAGCUCGGCCAUCAACUUCCUUGUGUAUUGUUUAUCCACAGCUUGGACAGCAUUCUGUCUGCAAUCUAGGCAAGCACAAUUUCUUGCCUAGUGUCUAGCUUGUCACAUUUGAAGCAAACUCCAUACAGAGGUUCUUCAGUGUCCAUCAUCUUUGAAGUGGUGUCAGUAUGCUGCCAGGAACAGACAUUUCUCACUUGAAGAGCGUUUUAUUAAUAAAACAUCUUUAAAUGUCA